CCUACGGGAGGCAGCAGUGGGGAAUAUUGCACAAUGGGGGAAACCCUGAUGCAGCGACGCCGCGUGAGUGAAGAAGUAAUUCGUUACGUAAAGCUCUAUCAGCAGGGAAGAAAUACUGACCUUACGGUCAGCAGACGGUACCUGAGCAAGAAGCCCCGGCUAACUACGUGCCAGCAGCCGCGGUAAUACGUAGGGGGCAAGCGUUAUCCGGAUUUACUGGGUGUAAAGGGAGCGUAGCCGGUGCGCCAGGUCGGGAGGGAAAUGCCGAAGCUUAAGGGGGGAACUGCUUUGGAUACUGGCGAGCUAGAGUGCGGAAGGGGUAGGAGGAAUGCCUGGUGUAGCGGUGAAAUGCGUAGAUAUUA
rnacentral:rRNA from 1 species